UGGAAAUAAACAUAGCUGAACACAUACAGGAGCUGUAUCUUUAGGUAUCCUGUGGAAAUAAACAUAGCUGAACACAUACAGGAGCUGUAUCUUUAGGUAUCCUGUGGAAAUAAACAUAGCUGAACACAUACAGGAGCUGUAUCUUUAGGUAUCCUGUGGAAAUAAACAUAGCUGAACACAUACAGGAGCUGUAUCUUUAGGUAUCCUGUGGAAAUAAACAUAGCUGAACACAUACAGGAGCUGUAUCUUUAGGUAUCCUGUGGAAAUAAACAUAGCUGAACACAUACAGGAGCUGUAUCUUUAGGUAUCCUGUGGAAAUAAACAUAGCUGAACACAUACAGGAGCUGUAUCUUUA